rnacentral:rRNA from 1 species
UAAUACGAAGGGGGCAAGCGUUGUUCGGAAUUACUGGGCGUAAAGGGCGCGCAGGCGGCCCUUGAAGUCAGGUGUGAAAGCCCCGGGCUCAACCUGGGAAUGGCACUUGAUACUCGAGGGCUGGAGUUCGGGAGAGGAGAGUGGAAUUCCCAGUGUAGAGGUGAAAUUCGUAGAUAUUGGGAAGAACACCGGUGGCGAAGGCGGCUCUCUGGACCGAGACUGACGCUGAGGCGCGAAAGCGUGGGGAGCAAACAGGAUUAGAUACCCUGGUAGUCCACGCCGUAAACGAUGUGCGCUAGACGUUGGGGAGCCUAGCUCUCCGGUGUCGCAGCUAACGCGAUAAGCGCACCGCCUGGGGAGUACGGCCGCAAGGUUAAA